rnacentral:rRNA from 1 species
ACUCCUACGGGAGGCAGCAGUGGGAAUAUUGGACAAUGGGGGAACCGUACAUCCAGCCAUGCCGCGUGUGUGAAGAAGGCCUUCGGGUUGUAAAGCACUUUCAGUGGGGAGGAAAGGUUGAUGGUUAAUACCUAUCAGCUGUGACGUUACCCACAGAAGAAGCACCGGCUAACUCCGUGCCAGCAGCCGCGGUAAUACGGAGGGUGCAAGCGUUAAUCGGAAUUACUGGGCGUAAAGCGUGCGCAGGCGGUCUGUUAAGCGAGAUGUGAAAGCCCC